UAUGGCUCAGGAUGAACGCUAGCGGCAGGCCUAAUACAUGCAAGUCGAACGGGAAAGGCUCCUUCGGGGGCCUUGAGAGUGGCGCACGGGUGCGCAACGCGUAUGCAACCAACCCCCGACAGGCGGAUAGCCGGUGGAAACGCCGGAUAAUACGCCAUGGUUCCCCGGGAGGGCAUCCUCCUUGGGAUAAAGCAGCGAUGCGGUCGGGGACGGGCAUGCGUGCCAUUAGCUUGUUGGCGGGGCGACGGCCCACCAAGGCUGCGAUGGCUAGGGGAUCUGAGAGGACGGUCCCCCACACUGGUACUGAGACACGGACCAGACUCCUGCGGGAGGCAGCAGUAAGGGAUAUUGGUCAAUGGGCGGAAGCCUGAACCAGCCAAUGCCGCGUGAGGGAAUGAGGCCCUACGGGUCGUGAACCUCUUUUAUUCGGGGACAAGGACGGCGUCGCGAACGCCGUUUGAGGGUACCGAAGGAAUAAGCGUCGGCUAACUCCGUGCCAGCCGCGGC
rnacentral:rRNA from 1 species